UUCAUAAUACUUAGAACAAUUUAGCACUUUCAAUAACUUAUUGAAGGACCACUCCAACGUCUGCUUAAGUAGAUUGUAUUUGAAGUGAUCUAUCCACCUUGUUCUUAAAUGCUGAAGUAAGCUUAUGGGCGAGACUUCCAGUUCAUUAGCCACUAUAGGGAAAUAACUUGCAUCGCAACAAAUGUAAUUGAGUCCCAAAUGAAUGGUAACCUAGAAUUAUUGCUGUUGCUUACAGGAGGGACUGUCAGUUGAUCAAUGAGGUUUGCUGCAAGCAUUAUUCAGGUCAUGUUACAAAGACUCAUGAAAAUAAAAUAUACUUUCAAGUGGGGGAUAAAGUUUGCUGCACAAAGAAUGGCUAUAUCUCAGAAACAGAUAAUGAGAACAUGCAAGAAGAGCCUGCACAUGAUGUUGCUGGAACUUCCCAAGAUAUUCCAAGUACCCAAAGAAAAAAUGAACAGAAGAAAAUGAAACAAGAAAGAAUGUGCAAUGGGGAAAUUUUCUUCAUUAAAGCGGAUGUAACUGAGGAGGAUAUGGGAGCAAGAUGCAAAACAAGACACUACUUGACCCUAGAUGAUGAAAACGGCCGUGUGGUGACUUCUAACUACAGUGAACUACAGAAAGAGUGUAAACUGCGCCAUGCUUGGGCAAGAACCAUUCACACCUUUCAGGGCUCGGAGGCUGAAACAAUUGUGUACGUUCUUUUGAAUACCUUUGUUCAAAACUGGCAGCACGUAUACACUGCAGUGACACGCGGUCAGAAGCGUGUGUAUGUGGUGAGUAGAGACCGUGAUCUAGAAGGAGCCAUUGAGAAAAGGAUCACCCCUCGUAACACGCGAUUGCGUGGCCGUGUCAAGGAGAUUGUUGCCCAACAAGAUUCUGAAGACUCUUUCACGCAGUCUGAUUGCAGUCCAGUCUCAAAGCGCCACAGAGCGAACUAAUAAAGCAAACCACUUCAGAAGAGCCUCUAUUGGAAAGCACAAGCUGAAGCUCCAAAUCUCACAGCAAGGAGCUUCCCUGACAAUUCCUAAUUCAAGAUCUAAUUUAAACCAGUGCAAAUACAAAGUCUCAGGAUGUUGACUUUAAAACAAAUAUGCUGUAAAUUGAAAGAAACGAUUUAAUACUCUGCACUAUUUCUAUUUCAGUAAUCAUAUAAUCAAUUUUCUUUUUAUUAUUGUUAACGUUCUGAAAUUAGGUAGUCUUAAGAAUGCGUUUGUAUAACUGAUUAUGCUAUUGACAUUAUGAUUGGCACUGUCUCCCCCAGGUAUAUGAAUAUUCCUGCAUGUGAUAAUUAUAUGCUUAUAAUGUUCCAAAUAUUAAUCAUGUGAGUUUUUUUGUGUUAAGUUUGAAUUAUGCUUUUUAUUACAAUGACUGGAUAUUCAAACUGUUUUUGAUGGCAUGUUUUUAU